rnacentral:tRNA from 1 species
GGGGAAUUAGCUCAUCUGGGAGAGCGUACGACUGAAGAUCGUAAGGUACCGAGUUCGAUCCUCGGAUUCCCCA